GCUUGUUUGUGCAAAUAGCCUGGGAUCAGGCUGUGAUUCCUGGAGCCUUUUUCUCCUUGCGGAGGUGGGGGGACGAGAGCGAACUCUGUGACAUCUCGGGGAGGCAGCAGGUUCCUGUGGCCCCUAUGCCGGGGGGAAGGACCGAGAGGCAGCAGGGAGAGGAUGUGAAGCAGGACCUGGCGAAGAAAGGGGGGGGCCCUACCGAUCCCCCCCACUCAAGAGGCUCAGAUGUGUGAAACAAAUCCCAAACCCUCUGUUAUGAAUUUUUUUUUUGGCACGCGCAGGAGGAAGUGAUGGAGUUGCUCCUUUCUGGAGAGCGGCUGCCAACCCCGAUGCAGCCCCCUGCGGCCCCCCAGCCCCUUUGCCAGCGUUUGUUCCUAGCAGAAGGGCUGUUUGUGUGUUGUGUGGGCUCCUGUUUUUUGUUUUAAGUGUGGCUACAAUCAUCUGCUGAGAGGCUCACUACUCCGGCUCGUUCCCUGCCAAUUUCCCUGAGAGCUGGCACUACAGGCGCUCCGGAGGCAACGAAGAGAGGCUGGGGAGGAUAGAUCGUGAAGGGAAAAAAAUGGACACAUGCCAUCGACGGAGCGGCGAGGUGCCAGAAUGCCAGCAGGCAGCAUGGGGCCAAAAAAAAAAAAAAAACGCCACACGGAGCGGAAAAGAAGCUGGCAGCCCCUCUCGAAGCAGGCGCUGGCUGAGUUGGCAGAGGUGCCAUGGAGGACGGGCUGCAGAGAGCAGGCAAUGCGGGAGAGAGAGAGAAAAACAGACAGACAAAUUGGCAGAGGCAGGACAGGUAGCAGACGGCGAAUGGGGAGAGGAAAAAGGCUUUCCUCCCACCCCAGGCCUACGCCAGGGUCAAGAGCAGUUGGGCCCCAGAUCUGGUCCAGUCCAAACACCAGGGGGAGAGUCAUCUCCGUCACACCAGCCUGUCUUCUGCACUGACCCCCAGCCUCGCCUCAGCUAG
rnacentral:lncRNA from 1 species